UCUUCCGUAGUAUAGUGGUCAGUAUAUGAGCUUGUCAUCAUGGUCUCUCCUCUUCACGAGGGAAGACAAGGACACCGCUCGGGACCCGGGUUCAAUUCCCGGCGGGAAAG